rnacentral:rRNA from 1 species
CACACAAAGUGUACGAACUGGUGAUAUCUUUCCUUCUUUAGGGUAAUAAGUAUUUAUACUUGUUCCCUAUCUUUACUUUGAGAAAUUAGAGUGUUCAAAGCAGGCGUACCAGCCUUGAAUAAAUUUAGCAUGGGAUUAAUGGAAUAAGACUUCUGGCCUUAUUUUUCGUUGGUCAUUAGGGCUAAAGUAAUGAUUAAUAGGGAUAGUUGGGGUCAUUUGUAUUAAGCAGUCAGAGGUGAAAUUCUAAGAUUUGCUUAAGACAAGCUAGUGCGAAAGCAUUUGACAAGGAUGUUUUCAUUAAUCAAGAACGAAAGUUGGGGGAUCGAAGAUGAUUAGAUACCGUCGUAGUCCCAACCAUAAACUAUGCCAUCUAAGGAUCCGUGAAUGUCGAAUGGAUGACUUCCUGGGCACUUAUAGAGAAAUCAAAGAAUUUGGGUUCCCGGGGGGAGUAUGGUCGCAAGGCUGAAACUUAAAGGAAUUGACGGAAGAGCACCACAAGAAGUGGAAUAUGCGGUUUAAUUUGACUCAACACGGGAAAACUUACGAGGGCCAGACACAAUAAGGAUUGACAGAUUGAGAGCUCUUUCUUGAUUUUGUGGGUGGUGGUGCAUGGCCGUUUCUAGUUGGUGGAGUGAUUUGUCUGGUUAAUUCCGUUAACGAACGAGACCUUAACCUAUUAAAUAGUUACAUGAACUUGGACUUUUUGUCUAUUUGUUUAUGGUUAACUUCUUAGAGGGACUAUUCACGU